GAAGUAACAAAUGCCCUGCUUCCAGGAAAAGCCUCUAAGCAUCAGGUAACAUUAAAUCGUACCCCAAACCGACACAGGUGGUCAGGUAGAGAAUACCAAGGCGCUUGAGAGAACUCGGGUGAAGGAACUAGGCAAAAUGGUGCCGUAACUUCGGGAGAAGGCACGCUGGUGUGUAGGUGAAGUCCCUGCGGAUGGAGCUGAGACCAGUCGAAGAUACCAGCUGGCUGCAACUGUUUAUUAAAAACACAGCACUGUGCAAACACGAAAGUGGACGUAUACGGUGUGACGCCUGCCCGGUGCCGGAAGGUUAAUUGAUGGGGUUAUCCGUAAGGAGAAGCUCUUGAUCGAAGCCCCGGUAAACGGCGGCCGUAACUAUAACGGUCCUAAGGUAGCGAAAUUCCUUGUCGGGUAAGUUCCGACCUGCACGAAUGGCGUAAUGAUGGCCAGGCUGUCUCCACCCGAGACUCAGUGAAAUUGAACUCGCUGUGAAGAUGCAGUGUACCCGCGGCAAGACGGAAAGACCCCGUGAACCUUUACUAUAGCUUGACACUGAACAUUGAGCCUUGAUGUGUAGGAUAGGUGGGAGGCUUUGAAGCGUGGACGCCAGUCUGCGUGGAGCCAACCUUGAAAUACCACCCUUUAAUGUUUGAUGUUCUAACGUUGGCCCCUGACCGGGGUUGCGGACAGUGUCUGGUGGGUAGUUUGACUGGGGCGGUCUCCUCCCAAAGCGUAACGGAGGAGCACGAAGGUUAGCUAAUCCUGGUCGGACAUCAGGAGGUUAGUGCAAUGGCAUAAGCUAGCUUGACUGCGAGCGUGACGGCGCGAGCAGGUGCGAAAGCAGGUCAUAGUGAUCCGGUGGUUCUGAAUGGAAGGGCCAUCGCUCAACGGAUAAAAGGUACUCCGGGGAUAACAGGCUGAUACCGCCCAAGAGUUCAUAUCGACGGCGGUGUUUGGCACCUCGAUGUCGGCUCAUCACAUCCUGGGGCUGAAGUAGGUCCCAAGGGUAUGGCUGUUCGCCAUUUAAAGUGGUACGCGAGCUGGGUUUAGAACGUCGUGAGACAGUUCGGUCCCUAUCUGCCGUGGGCGCUGGAGAAUUGAGGGGGGCUGCUCCUAGUACGAGAGGACCGGAGUGGACGCAUCACUGGUGUUCGGGUUGUCAUGCCAAUGGCACUGCCCGGUAGCUAAAUGCGGAAGAGAUAAGUGCUGAAAGCAUCUAAGCACGAAACUUGCCCCGAGAUGAGUUCUCCCUGAGACUUUAAGUCUCCUGAAGGAACGUUAAAGACGAUGACGUUGAUAGGCCGGGUGUGUAAGCGCAGCGAUGCGUUGAGCUAACCGGUACUAAUGAACCGUGAGGCUUAACCUUACAACGCCGAAGAUGUUUUG
rnacentral:rRNA from 2 species